GUAUUUCAAUGAUUAAAGUAUGUUGAGUGAUGAAUAUAUAACAAUCAAAUAUUUGCCCCUUUGCAACGCACUCAUCAAUCAAUCAUAAACUCUAACAUGGCUCCCUCUGUUUCCAUUUCCAUUCUGAUAGUAGCAUUAUGGGUUCUUUAUAUCUUGAUGCACUCCACAACUAUGGUUAUUGCUGCUGGCUCUGUGGCAGCAUCUAAUUCAUCAGCGCUUGAACUAGAAGCGAAGGCUCUCCUGGAGAGUGGGUGGUGGUAUGGGUACUCCAACGAUACAUUCGUAGAUCAUUGCCACUUCUAUGGAAUCAUAUGCAAUGCUGGUGGAAGCGUCAUAGAGAUUGACAGGAGGGGUAUGCUCAAUUACAGAGAUGCGAUCAGUAAACUCAACAUCUCUUCCUUCCCAAAUUUAGUCCACCUUGAUCUUUCUGAUAAUUGGCUUACGGGGAGCAUUUCAGUCGAGAUAUGCACCCUUUCAAAGCUCACCCACCUUGAUCUGUCCCAUAAUUCUCUCACAGGUAAGUUGCCUCCUUCACUUGGAAACCUCACUCGAUUGGUGGAAUUUGACAUUUCUUCAAAUUCUAUCAUCGGUGAAUUACCUCUUUCACUUGCAAACCUCACUAGAUUACAGAUAUUUGACAUUUCCUCUAAUCUACUUGGUGGUUCCAUACCCAAAGGAUUGGGUAAUUUAAAGAAUCUUCUAGAAUUAAGAUUGAGUCAUAACAAUUUUACCGGAGCAAUCCCUUCUGCUCUUGGCCUUCUAACCAAUCUUUCCAUCUUGGAUUUGUCUUUUAAUAAAAUCAAUGGUUCUAUAGUGCCAGAAAUUGGAUUGCUAAAGAAUUUGUUGGAAUUGGACCUACAAAGAAACAAUCUCACUGGUCCAAUCCCUUUGUCUAUAGGUCAUCUAACCAAUUUGGUUUCUUUGUCUCUUUCUAUGAAUCAAAUCAAUGGUCACAUUCCACUAGAAAUAGGCAACAUGAAGAAUUUGAGGCACCUACACAUCAAUAAUAACAAGCUUAUUGGCCCCCUCCCUUCAUCUCUUGGUCAUCUAACCAAUUUGAUAUCUUUGUUUCUUGAUUCAAACCAAAUCAAUGGCUCCAUUCCUCCUGAAAUAGGCAACAUGAAGAAUUUGAGUUACCUGUCCAUCAAUAAUAACAAGCAAGCAUCUGAUUGGCCCCCUCUCCAUUCAUCUCUUGGUCAUCUAAACCAAUUUGAUCUAUUUGUUUCUUGAUUCAAACCAAAUCAAUGGCUCCAUUCCUCCUGAAAUAGGCAACAUGAAGAAUUUGAGUUACCUGUCCAUCAAUAAUAACAAGCUUAUUGGCCCCCUCCCUUCAUCUCUUGGUCAUCUGAUCAAUUUGAUCAAUUUGUUUCUUGAUUCAAACCAAAUCAAUGGCUCCAUUCCUCCUGAAAUAGGCAACAUGAAGAAUUUGAGUUACCUGUCCAUCAAUAAUACCAAGCUUAUUGGCCCCCUCCCUUCAUCUCUUGGUCAUCUAACCAAUUUGAUCUAUUUGUUUCUUGAUUCAAACCAAAUCAAUGGCUCCAUUCCUCCUGAAAUAGGCAACAUGAAGAAUUUGAGUUACCUGUCCAUCAAUAAUAACAAGCUUAUUGGCCCCCUCCCUUCAUCUCUUGGUCAUCUAACCAAUUUGGUUUCUUUGUCUCUUUCUAUGAAUCAAAUCAAUGGUCACAUUCCACUAGAAAUAGGCAACAUGAAGAAUUUGAAUUACCUGUACAUCAAUAAUAACAAGCUUAUUGGUCCCCUCCCUUCAUCUCUUGGUCAUCUAACCAAUUUGAUUUCUUUGUUUCUUGAUUCGAACCAAGUCAAUGGUUCCAUUCCUCCUGAAAUAGGCAACAUGACGAAUUUGAAAGACUUGCAUCUCAAUAAUAACAAUAUUGUUGGUCCAAUCCCUUUGACUAUAGGUCAUUUAACUAGCUUGCAAACUUUGUCCCUUAGUGGGAACCAAAUUAGUGGUUCCUUCCCUGUGCACAUUUUUAAUUGCUCUUCACUCUACAACAUAACCUUCAGCCAUAACUACUUAACUGGAAGCAUUCCCUUUCGUAACAGUAGCCUUUUUCCAUUAAGCUUGAUUGACCUCAGUUAUAAUUCUAUUAGUGGAGGAGAAAUACCUCUUAGGGGUAUAGAAUUUUUGGAUGUCAGCUACAAUAACUUCAAUGGCUCCUUUCCUAACUUAAUAGGCAAUAUGGAGCAUCUGCGUCACUUCAACCUUAGCAAUAACAAAAUUGUUGGUCAAGUUCCUUCGAUUAUAGGUCAAUUAACUGAGUUGGAAACGUUGGCCCUUAGUUGGAACCGAAUCAGUGGCUCCAUCCCCAAAGAAAUAGCUGAUUGCAAGAGGUUGAGUGAAUUGUUAUUGAGCCAUAACUAUUUAACUGGAAGCAUUCCAUCUCAAAUUAGUGACCUUCAGCUUUUAAAUGCUAUUGACCUAAGUUAUAAUGCUAUCAGUGGGGAAAUUCCUUUUAAACGAGGGGAUUCACACGCUUUACAGCACUUGGAUCUCAGCUGCAAUAAUCUUACUGGAAAUAUUCCGGAUCUUUCAUAUUCAGUAAAAGAAGUGAACUUUUCCCACAAUUCUUUCCAUGGUCGGAUCCCAGAUGGCUACUUAAAUUAUACACCUUCAGCCUUCAUCGGCAACAAAGAUUUAUGUGGUGAUGUCAAAGGCUUCCCUCCUUGCCCAAGCAACAAUAGAUCCAUUGUCCAUAAAAUAAAAUUUUUUGUUCCCUUAAUUGCUUUCACUAUGUUUUUACUUCUUGGGUAUUUUUUCCGCUCUCGAUGUAGAGUUAGGAAAAUGUCAUCUGAGUCAAGGGAAACAAAGAAUGGGGAUUUGUUCUCAAUAUGGAAUUAUGAUGGAAAAAUUGCAUAUGAAGACAUCAUUGAAGCAACAGAGGACUUUGACAUUAGAUAUUGUAUUGGAACAGGUGGUUAUGGCAGUGUUUACAAAGCACAGUUGCCUAAUGGUAAAGUGGUUGCCUUAAAGAAACUUCAUCGCUUGGAGGCUGAGGACCCAAAUUUUGACAAGAGUUUCAGAAAUGAGGUCAAAAUUUUAACGGAAAUCCGACAUCGGAAUAUUGUGAAACUGUAUGGUUAUUGUUUGCACAAACGAUGCAUGUUUUUGGUCUAUGAGUAUAUGGAAAGGGGAAGUCUAUUUUGUGUCCUACACAACAAUGCUGAGGCUGUAGAAUUGGAUUGGAUGAAGAGGGUGAACAUAAUCAAAAGCACAGCACAUGCAUUAUCUUAUAUGCAUCAUGAAGGUGUCCCUGUAAUUGUUCAUCGAGAUAUAACAAGCAACAAUAUUCUAUUGAACUCUGAGUUAGAGGCAUUUGUGUCAGAUUUUGGCACGGCUAGACUCCUUGAUUCAGAUACCUCCAAUCAAACUCUAAUGGCUAGGACUUACGGUUAUAUUGCUCCAGAAUUGGCCUAUACUAUGAAGGUGACUGAAAAAAGUGAUGUUUAUAGCUUUGGAGUGGUGGCAUUAGAAAUAUUAAUGGGAAGGCAUCCAGGCGAACUCUUGACAUCAUUAUCAUCAUCUCAAAGUGUGAUGCUAAAUGAAAUAUUAGACAAGCGCCUCCCACCUCCAAAUCGUUUGGUUGCACAGGAUGUUUUUCUUGUUGCUGCAAUUUCAUUUGCUUGCUUACGUGCUAAACCAAAGUCUAGGCCGACAAUGAAAUUAGUGUCUCAAGAAUUUCUUUGUCACAAGAAACCAAUAAUGAACCCCUUACAUGCAGUUUCAGUAUGGCAACUAAGAAACCAAGAAACUUAUAUGGUUGGAGAGAGUGAAACCCAUUUUGAAAGUCCUUGUUUUCUGGUUGAGAAAGAUAAUGUUUGAUGAGCUUCUAUGAAAAAAUU